GCUCCGGGCGUCGGCCUGU
rnacentral:snRNA from 1 species